GAUGAACGCUGGCGGCGUGCCUAAUACAUGCAAGUCGAGCGAACAGACGAGGAGCUUGCUCCUCUGACGUUAGCGGCGGACGGGUGAGUAACACGUGGUUAACCUACCUAUAAGACUGGGAUACCUUCGGGAAACCGGAGCUAAGACCGGAGAAUAUAUUGAACCUCAUGGUUCAAUAGUUAAAGAAGGUUUUGCUGUCACUUAUAGCUGGAUCCGCACAGCAUUAGCUAGUUGGUAAGGUAACGGCUUACCAAGGCAACGAUGCGUAGCCGACCUUGAAGGGUGAUCGGCCAGCCAGUCACCUAGCGACGGUCCACACUCCUAGGGAAGGCGACAGUACCGAAUCUUCCGCCACGAUCGAAAGCGUUACGGAGCAAAGCCGCGUGAGUGAUGAUCAGCGUCAGUUCGUUAAAUACUGCUAUUAUGGAAGAACAACUGUGUUAGUAACCCGGACCGUCUUGACGGUACCUAAGCAGAAAGCCACGGCUAACUACGUG
rnacentral:rRNA from 1 species